rnacentral:rRNA from 1 species
UACGUAGGGGGCGAGCGUUGUCCGGAGUUACUGGGCGUAAAGGGCAUGCAGGCGGUCGGACGCGUUUUGUGUGACAGCGGGUGGCUCAACUACCCGAGCAUGCGAAAGACGGUCGGACUUGAGGACUCGAGAGGGACACGGAAUUCCGGGUGGAGUGGUGAAAUGCGUAGAGAUCCGGAGGAGCACCGAAGGCGAAGGCAGUGUCCUGGCGAGUGACUGACGCUGAGGUGCGAAAGCCAGGGGAGCGAACGGG